CCUUCCGUAGGGGGAACCUGCGGAAGGAUCAUUACAGGGUUCUUUUCCUGCCCUUUUCAGGGUAGAGAAUCCCCAUCCUUGUGUAUAUUAUGUUUGUUGCUUUGGCAGGCUGCCCUCGGGCCUGGGCUUCGGCUCGGCUACGCCUGCCAGAGGACCCCUCAACUCUGAAUUGUUAGUGUCGUCUGAGUACUAUAUAAUAGUUAAAACUUUCAACAACGGAUCUCUUGGUUCUGGCAUCGAUGAAGAACGCAGCGAAAUGCGAUAAGUAAUGUGAAUUGCAGAAUUCAGUGAAUCAUCGAAUCUUUGAACGCACAUUGCGCCCCUUGGUAUUCCGAGGGGCAUGCCUGUUCGAGCGUCAUUGAAAAACUCCUGCCCUGCAGGGUCUUGGGCUCCGUCGCGGGACGGGCCUGAAAAUCAGUGGCGGCGUCCGUCGACCCUAAGCGUAGUAAAUCUCCUCGCUACAGGGCCUCGGCGGGUAGCUAGCCAUAACCCCAACUCUCAAUGUUUGACCUCGGAUCAGGUAGGGAUACCCGCUGAACUUAAGCAUAUCAAUAAGCGGAGGAAGGAUCAUUACAGGGUUCUUUUCCUGCCCUUUUCAGGGUAGAGAAUCCCAUCCUUGUGUAUAUUAUGUUUGGUGCUUUGGCAGGCUGCCCUCGGUCUGGGCUUCGCUCUGCUACCCUGCCGAAGACCCUCACUCCUAAAUGGUUAGUGUCGUCUGAGUUACUAUAUAAUAGUUAAAGACUUUUCACAACGAUCUCUUGGAUUCUGGCAUCAUGAAGAACCAGCAAAUGCAGUAAGUAAUGUGAUUGCAGAAUUCAUGAUUCAUCACCUUGAGCAUUGCUUGCUAUUCGAG
rnacentral:misc_RNA from 1 species